rnacentral:rRNA from 1 species
AUUGAACGCUGGCGGCAUGCCUUACACAUGCAAGUCGAACGGCAGCACGGGAGCAAUCCUGGUGGCGAGUGGCGAACGGGUGAGUAAUAUAUCGGAACGUGCCCACUCGUGGGGGAUAACGUAGCGAAAGCUACGCUAAUACCGCAUACGAUCUAUGGAUGAAAGCGGGGGAUCGCAAGACCUCGCGCGAUUGGAGCGGCAGAUAUCAGAUUAGGUAGUUGGUGAGGUAAAGGCUCACCAAGCCGACGAUCUGUAGCUGGUCUGAGAGGACGACCAGCCACACUGGGACUGAGACACGGCCCAGACUCCUACGGGAGGCAGCAGUGGGGAAUUUUGGACAAUGGGCGCAAGCCUGAUCCAGCAAUGCCGCGUGCAGGAUGAAGGCCUUCGGGUUGUAAACUGCUUUUGUACGGAGCGAAACGGCUUCCACUAAUACUGGGGGCUAAUGACGGUACCGUAAGAAUAAGCACCGGCUAACUACGUGCCAGCCGCCGCCGUAACAC